rnacentral:rRNA from 1 species
UACGUAGGGUGCGAGCGUUGUCCGGAUUUAUUGGGCGUAAAGGGCUCGUAGGCGGCCUGUCGCGUCGGGAGUGAAAGCCCACUGCUUAACGGUGGGUCUGCUUCCGGUACGGGCGGGCUAGAGUAUGGCAGGGGAGACUGGAAUUCCUGGUGUAGCGGUGGAAUGCGCAGAUAUCAGGAAGAACACCCGUGGCUAAGGCGGCUCUCUAGUACGUGACUGACGCUGAGACGCGAAAGCGUGGGGAGCGAACAGG